rfam:Ovis aries breed Texel chromosome 2, whole genome shotgun sequence.
UCCCUGGUGGUCCAGUGGCUAAGACUCUGCGUUUCCAAUGCAGGGGACCAUGGUUCAAUCCCUGGUUGGGGAA